UACGGAGGAUGCAAGCGUUAUCCGGAUUUAUUGGGUUUAAAGGGUGCGUAGGCGGGGGAUUAAGUCAGUGGUGAAAUACUGCAGCUCAACUGUAGCACUGCCAUUGAUACUGAUUUUCUUGAGUGUGGUUGAAGUAGGCGGAAUGUGUAAUGUAGCGGUGAAAUGCUUAGAGAUUACACAGAACACCGAUUGCGUAGGCAGCUUACUAAGCCAUAACUGACGCUGAGGCACGAAAGUGUGGGGAUCGAACAGG
rnacentral:rRNA from 1 species